GAAGGACACCAUUUCACUAUGCCAAUGAGCGGCGUGACAUCAACUGUAUGCAGCAUCUACUGGAUAGCAAAGCCAAUCCAAACCAACGUGAUGAGGAUGAACGGACGCCACUUCACAAUGCCACUAUUGAGAACAAGGCCGACUUCGUUCUACAUCUACUGCAAGCUGGAGCUAACCCAGAUCAAGGAGAUAAGGCAGGUUAUGGAACAGCCAUUUCAAUAUACUCUGCUAAAGCAUUUCCUGAAAACUAACUGUGUGAAGAAAUCAAAGACUAUGCUGGUAAACUGCUGAACAAGUGUUCAAUGUGCCGUGCGAAGAGCUUUUCUGAGUCUGGCACUAAUUAUUUCCCACUGCCAAUUGUCUGAUGACUGCUUCAGCAUGAAAAUUAAUUCACUACAGCUCCUGCUUGGACCCUACGCUCUUUCAAUGAAAACUGUUAUGUGAAGAAAUCAGUACGUGCCCUAACUCCGAGUGUCAUGUUGAUGGUUGUGUGAAUGAGGUUAGUCGGAGAGUACAUUUGGUGAUGACUUUGGAAGUCUUCUGGAAUCAACAGGUUCAAAGCUGUCGCUCGCCUUGCUUCAUAUUGUAUCAUCCACAGACGGACAUGUGGCAUACAAUGUGUACUAUCAUUUCUCAUAGUGAGCCAUGUUCUUUGUUGGUUACUUGCUGAACAUAUACUUAUGUUAUAGUAUGGAAAGACACCACUUCACUAUGCCAGUCAGCGGGGCCAUAUCGAUUGUAUGCGGCAUCUACUGGACAGCAAAGCCAAUCCAAACCAAGCUGACAAGGGGGGAAAGACAUCACUUCACUAUGCCUGUCAGCAGAAUCGUAUCGAUUGUAUGCGGCAUCUACUGGACAGCAAAGCCAAUCCAAACCAAGCUGACGAGGUAAGUUGCAUUUUAUGAAGCAUUAGCAAACAAAAUUAGUUAGUGAGCACCCCUCUAAACACCUGAUAAGUAUUGAUUAGUCAAUACAAUAACACAUGCAAUUGAGUGCAUUGCAAUCCAUGCGGUUACAUCUGCUUACU